GACGAACGCUGGCGGCGUGCUUAACACAUGCAAGUCGAACGGAAAGGCCCUGCUCUUGUGGGGUGCUCGAGUGGCGAACGGGUGAGUAACACGUGAGUAACCUGCCCUUGACUUUGGGAUAACUUCAGGAAACUGGGGCUAAUACCGGAUAGGAGCUCCUGCUGCAUGGUGGGGGUUGGAAAGUUUCGGCGGUUGGGGAUGGACUCGCGGCUUAUCAGCUUGUUGGUGGGGUAGUGGCUUACCCAGGCUUUGACGGGUAGCCGGCCUGAGAGGGUGACCGGCCACAUGGGGACUGAGAUACGGCCCAGACUCCUACGGGAGGCAGCAGUGGGGAAUAUUGCACAAUGGGCGGAAGCCUGAUGCAGCAACGCCGCGUGCGGGAUGACGGCCUUCGGGUUGUAAACCGCUUUCGCCUGUGACGAAGCGUGAGUGACGGUAAUGGGUAAAGAAGCACCGGCUAACUACGUG
rnacentral:rRNA from 1 species